UACGUAGGUGGCAAGCGUUGUCCGGAUUUAUUGGGUUUAAAGGGUGCGUAGGCGGUGUCCUAAGUCAGUUGUGAAAUACGGCAGCUUAACUGUCGAGGUGCAAUUGAUACUGGGAUACUUGAGUACUGAUGAGGUAUGCGGAAUGGACGGUGUAGCGGUGAAAUGCUUAGAUAUCGUCCAGAACACCGAUAGCGAAGGCAGCAUACUAAGGAGUAACUGACGCUGAGGCACGAAAGUGUGGGGAUCAAACAGGAUUAGAUACCCUGGUAGUCCACACUGUAAACGAUGAUCACUCGAUGUUGGCGAUACACAGCCAGCGUCUUAGCAAAAGCGAUAAGUGAUCCACCUGGGGAGUACGCCGGCAACGGUGAA
rnacentral:rRNA from 1 species